rnacentral:misc_RNA from 1 species
UAAAUACAAGGGCUAUGCAAGUCUUUUAUUUAUAGACGAAAAAAUAGCUAAUUUCUGUAUCAUAAAAAUAUUCCCAGAUCUAACUAAAGAAACAAUUUUCCAAUUUCAAACUCGUGCGUUUCCACAAAAUCAUAAGGCUCAAAGUAUAACGAGAUCGAGCUGAAGUUCCCUGUCGGAUAAAUUGUUAACACGACAAAAUUUACUACGCGUAAAAAUCCACCCGCUUAAAUACAAAACAAUAAUACGCAUCAUGCUCAUUUAUCCACAACGCAUACGCACUUGUAACAAUUUUUUAACUAUAUUCGAAAUGUGUUCGGACGAACAAGAAUCGUAUCAGUCAUGGAGAAGUAAAUAUGUGCAAACGAGAGACGACAGCCGGAUGUCAGUGGUUUAUCUAAGGAACUGUUUGCGGAGCACGGAAGAAAGUCAAGGAAAAAUAAAGAUGUGAAAGAAGAAAAUAUUUCAUUUCAAAUUCCGAGUAUUUUCGUACAAGAGCCAUUCUUCAGAAAUAUAAGAGACAUCAUUUCUCAUAUCAUUCGUCACACGAAUGCCUUUCUAAGUCCAAAAUAUUAAUCGCUUAAACGAGUCAUAAUUAAUUCAGUUUUAUUCAAUUCCACACAACUUGUAAAAUCUGCGUUUGCCCGGUUUUCGUACCAAGGUCUGCAAAUUGUGCCAUUUAUUCCACUGUCUUCGCUAAAACUCUCUUCAGCCUGCUUGCACCUUGCCUUCUUCUAUUCUUUUCUAUUCUUUUCUUUUCCAGCUUCUCCACUCAUUCCAUGAUCCUUCUAUCCUGUCUUUUACUCGUCUUUUACUACGUCUUCCGACCUGACACGUCAUUUGGUUUCCUUAUAAUUGCCUGUUAAGUGAAUUAGAUCCUCGAAUUUAUCCUCCUCCUCCUUCUCCUCCUCCCAGUGCCUAUUUCAAUUUUCCAACUCUCCACACUAUGCUCGUGCUAUUAUCUUUUGACCUUCUCCUUAUUUUCUUAGGUAUUCUGGCAGCCCUAUUGUUCACACGUAUUGGUAUCUAUCAUCGCAUUGCUCUGACAUUUAUAAUACCUGAGUCUUAGACUUUAGUCGCUUUAUUACGUAUCGCAGAGUUUCCUUUAUAAUAUAGACGCAUAAGGGGUAACUGAAGAAGAAAAGAGGCGCAUGAGGCACUUUACUGUGAACACGAUACGGGGUGUCUUAAGGUAGUUGAUAAGCUCAGACAAGAAGUUAUUUGUAUACACGCUAACGCUAUGUUAGCUCGUUUACUGACACUAACCUGAAUUCGAGUUUGUUUAACUUUUUUUCCUAAUGUACAGUCAUCCACAUUUUGUUAUUUCGAAAGGCUCGAGAUUAUAUAGGGUGGGACAGAUAAAGCGUCACAAGCAGUUUUCUUAGAAGGCAUCGCAGAUAUUAAGUGGAAUUUUUCAGUUGUUAAAUGGUGCAGAGGGGCUAGCAUUUUAGACUGCAAGAUAUUGCGGGGGUGAGUUUCUUAAGGGUAGGAAGGAUGCUUUGAAUUUUAAGCUGAUAUCUGUAUGU